rnacentral:rRNA from 1 species
UACGUAGGAGGCAAGCGUUGUCCGGACUGACUGGGCGUAAAGCGCGCGCAGGCGGAGCAGGGCGUCGGUGCUGAAAUCGGGCCGCUUAACGGCCCGCGGCGUGCCGAUACGCCUGGUCUGGAGCGCGGGCGAGGGUGGUGGAAUUGCCGGUGUAGUGGUGAAAUGCGUAGAGAUCGGCAGGAACACCCGUGGCGUAAGCGGCCACCUAGCCCGUUGCUGACGUGAAG